rnacentral:tRNA from 1 species
AAGAAAGAAGCAUAAGUGGUUUGAUGGGGUUGGCUUGAAACCAAUGUAUGAAGGUUCAGUUCCUUCCUUUCUUG